UUUGUGUGAUGAACUUGGUGGUGGUUGCUGUACGGCUUUUGCAAUGCGGCUGGCGGCUGCUGGGAAGCCUUCACCUAACCGAGGCGAAGGCAGCGGGCGCUGGCGCCCUGCGCCAUCCUUGCGUAGCUGCCCGCGUGCAGGCCCCUGAUCCUCGCCAGGCGGGUCCGCAGCUCCACGAGGUGGGUUAAGACGUCCACGAAGUGUUAUUCUUGAAUAAAGCAUGAGAGCUCUGGAGGCCCAGCCAGGGCCAAUGCCCCUUCACAGAGAUUCUGCACUAACCUGGUCACUGGGCUAAGAUUUGAAAUUGACUCUCUUGGAGAAGUGCUGUUGAGAUGGCGGGGAUGCCUAGGUAAUGGUUCCUGCCACUUCAUCUACAAGCCGUGACAAGAAGAGCCAUGCUCCUCCUCCCUGGCUGCUAUGGAUUUUGCUGCCACAAAGGAUGUCCUCUCUCUGAUGUUGGGCAGAUGCUAGGAGCUUACAUCUUUCCUGCAUUAACUUGAUGAACAUGAGCAACUGUGAACUUAUUAAGGAAGAAAACUGCCUAGAAAUUUCGGGGCACUUACAUAUCAAUUAGGUUUUACUUCUUUAUUUUGUCUUAAACAAGUACUUUGUUUUAUCAAAAGGAUUCCAGUAAAAUACUUUCAAGCAAAUAAAAAAUAAAUUGGUCUGUGUGAAAACAAGAUGGUAGAAAAUGAUUUAGGAAAGUGAAAGGUAACCACCAGUGAAUGAGCAUCGUCAUAAUGGACAUCUAGCUCUAGCUCUUUAUAGCUAUGUACAAACAGUGGAAGCUAGAUUGUACACACUUGGACACUAAUGUUGAGGAUUUCUAGAUUGACUACCAUAAUAUUCUAAUGUAGAAAAUGUAAUUAACAAGCAUUUGAAGUUUUUAUGAUGUUAAUAUUAACACAGGCACCUAAUUUCCCUUUUGAUGAAUUGGCGAAGACGUAGCUUCUCCAGAUUUUUUUUUGUGUGAGAAAGAGCAGCCCUGGGCUAACAUGCAUGCCAAUCUUUCUCUUUUUGCUGAGGAAGACUGGCCUGGGCUAACAUCUGUACCCAUCUUCCUCCACUUUAUAUGGGACACCGCCACAGCAUAGCCUGACAAGCGGUGCAUCAGUGCACGCCUUGGAUCCGAACCCGGGCCACCAGCAGCGGAACCCGUGCACUUAACUGCUAUGCCACGGCCCCGGCCCCUGUCCAGAUAUAUUUUAAAAGAAUAUGUUCCUAGUGGUUGCCAGGGGCUGGGGGAGGGAGGAAUGGGGAGUUUAAUGUUUAAUGAGUGUACAGUUUACAAGAUGAAAAGAAUUAUGAAGAUAAAUAGUGGUGGUGGUUGCACAAUAUUAUGAACGAAUGUGUUUAAUACUACUGAACUGUACGCUUUAAAAUGGUAAAAUU